UACGUAGGGUGCAAGCGUUGUCCGGAAUUAUUGGGCGUAAAGAGCUCGUAGGCGGUCUGUUGCGUCGGCUGUGAAAACCCGGGGCUCAACUCCGGGCCUGCAGCCGAUACGGGCAGGCUAGAGUUCGGCAGGGGAGACUGGAAUUCCUGGUGUAGCGGUGAAAUGCGCAGAUAUCAGGAGGAACACCGGUGGCGAAGGCAGGUCACUGGGCCACUACUGACGUGAGGAGCGAAAGCAUGGGGGAGCGAACAGG
rnacentral:rRNA from 1 species